UACGUAGGUGGCAAGCGUUGUCCGGAUUUACUGGGCGUAAAGAGCGCGCAGGCGGUCGUCCAAGUCGCGUGUGAAAGCCCCCGGCUCAACUGGGGAGGGUCACGCGAUACUGGUCGACUCGAAGGCAGGAGAGGGUAGUGGAAUUCCCGGUGUAGUGGUGAAAUGCGUAGAUAUGGGGAGGAACACCGGUGGCGAAGGCGG
rnacentral:rRNA from 1 species